GUAUUUGCUUCGGCAGUACAUAAAAUUGGAAAUACAGAAUUGAAGAUACAGAGUUAACAUGGGCCCUGCACAAUGGAUGACACGCAAAAUCAUAAAGCAUUCCACAUUUUU